AUACGGAGGAUGCGAGCGUUAUCCGGAUUUAUUGGGUUUAAAGGGUGCGCAGGCGGCCAUUUAAGUCAGCGGUUAAAUCGUGGGGCUCAACCCCAUUCUGCCGUUGAUACUGGGUGGCUUGAUUGCGGUCGAGGUUGGCGGAAUUCGUUGUGUAGCGGUGAAAUGCAUAGAUAUGACGAAGAACACCGAUUGCGUAGGCAGCUGACCAGACCGCAAAUGACGCUCAUGCACGAAAGUGCGGGGAUCGAACAGGAUUAGAUACCCUGGUAGUCCGCACAGUAAACGAUGAAUACUUGUUUUCGGCGAUAUAAUGUCGGAGGCAAAGCGAAAGCGAUAAGUAUUCCACCUGGGGAGUGCGCCGGCAACGGUGAAACUCAAAUGAAUUGGCGGGG
rnacentral:rRNA from 1 species